rnacentral:rRNA from 1 species
AGCGAACGCUGGCGGCAGGCCUAACACAUGCAAGUCGAACGCCUGUAGCAAUACAGGAGUGGCAGACGGGUGAGUAACACGUGGGAACGUGCCCUUCGGUUCGGAAUAACUCAGGGAAACUUGGGCUAAUACCGGAUACGUCCGCGAGGAGAAAGAUUCAUCGCCGAAGGAUCGGCCCGCGUCCGAUUAGCUAGUUGGUGGGGUGAUGGCUCACCAAGGCGACGAUCGGUAGCUGGUCUGAGAGGAUGAUCUGCCACACUGGGACUGAGACACGGCCCAGACUCCUACGGGAGGCAGCAGUGGGGAAUAUUGGACAAUGGGCGCAAGCCUGAUCCAGCCAUGCCGCGUGGGUGAUGAAGGCCCUAGGGUUGUAAAGCCCUUUCGGCGGGGAAGAUAAUGACGGUACCCGCAGAAGAAGCCCCGGCUAACUUCGUGCCAGCCGCCGCCGUAACAC